GGUAAGGUGGCUGAGUAAGGCGGUAGACUGUAAAUCUAUUUACGAGGACUGUCCUCCCUUAUCA
rnacentral:tRNA from 1 species